rnacentral:rRNA from 1 species
ACGGAAGGCAGCAGUGGGGAAUAUUGGACAAUGGGGGAAACCCUGAUCCAGCGACGCCGCGUGAGUGAAGAAGUAUUUCGGUAUGUAAAGCUCUAUCAGCAAGGAAGAAAAUGACGGUACUUGACUAAGAAGCUCCGGCUAAAUACGUGCCAGCAGCCGCGGUAAUACGUAUGGAGCAAGCGUUAUCCGGAUUUACUGGGUGUAAAGGGAGCGUAGACGGCAAAGCAAGUCCGAAGUGAAAUCCCGGGGCUCAACCCCGGAACUGCUUUGGAAACUGUUUAGCUAGAGUGCAGGAGAGGUAAGCGGAAUUCCUAGUGUAGCGGUGAAAUGCGUAGAUAUUAGGAGGAACACCAGUGGCGAAGGCGGCUUACUGGACUGUAACUGACGUUGAGGCUCGAAAGCGUGGGGAGCAAAUAGGAUUAGAUACCCUGGUA